rnacentral:rRNA from 1 species
CCCUUAGAUGUUCUGGGCCGCACGCGCGCUACACUGACGAAGUCAGCGAGCAUGUCCUACGCCGACAGGUGCGGGGAAUCUUGUCAAACUUCGUCGUGAUGGGGAUUGAUUAUUGAAAUUCUUGAUCAUCAACGAGGAAUUCCUAGUAAGCGCAAGUCAGCAGCUUGCGUUAAUUACGUCCCUGCCCUUUGUACACACCGCCCGUCGCUACUACCGAUUGAAUGGUUUAGUGAGAUCUUCGGAUUGGCGCCACUGCGGCUCAGCAAUGGGCUCGGUGGAUGCCGAAAAGUUGAUCAAACUUGAUCAUUUAGAGGAAGUAAAAGUCGUAACA